AUUGAACGCUGGCGGCAGGCCUAACACAUGCAAGUCGAGCGACCGGCGGGCGGGUGAGUAAUGUAUGGGGACUGCCCGAUAGAGGGGGCUAACUACUGGAAACGGUGGCUAAUACCGCAUACAGUCGGAUAACCCAUAUGGGAUUAGCUAGUGGGUAAGGUAAUGGCUUACCUAGGCGACGAUCCCUAGCUGGUCUGAGAGGAUGAUCAGCCACACUGGAACUGAGACACGGCCCAGACUCCUACGGAGGCAGCAGUGGGGAAUAUUGCACAAUGGGCGAAAGCCUGAUGCAGCCAUGCCGCGUGUAUGAAGAAGGCCCUAGGGUUGUAAAGCAUUUUCAGUCGGGAGGCGUUACUGACAGAAGAAGCACCGGCUAACUCCGUGCCAGCAGCGGCGGUAAUAC
rnacentral:rRNA from 1 species